rnacentral:rRNA from 1 species
UACAACUUUCAGCAACGGAUCUCUUGGCUCUCGCAUCGAUGAAGAACGCAGCGAAAUGCGAUAAGUAAUGUGAAUUGCAGAAUUCAGUGAAUCAUCGAAUCUUUGAACGCACCUUGCGCUCCUUGGUAUUCCGAGGAGCAUGCCUGUUUGAGUGUCAUUGAUAUAUCAA